rnacentral:rRNA from 1 species
CGAAGGCGGCUCUCUGGCCUGCACCUGACGCUGAGGCGAAAGCGUGAGGGGGCAAACAGGAUUAGG